rnacentral:rRNA from 1 species
UACGAAGGGGGCUAGCGUUGCUCGGAUUGACUGGGCGUAAAGGGCGCGUAGGCGGUUUGCAUAGUCAGACGUGAAAUUCCUGGGCUUAACCUGGGGCUGCGUUUGAUACAUGCAGGCUUGAGUUCGGAAGAGGGUCGUGGAAUUCCCAGUGUAGAGGUGAAAUUCGUAGAUAUUGGGAAGAACACCGGUGGCGAAGGCGGCUCUCUGGACCGACACUGACGCUGAGGCGCGAAAGCGUGGGGAGCAACAGGAUUAAGAAACCC